rnacentral:rRNA from 1 species
AGUGGGGAAUAUUGGACAAUGGGCGCAAGCCUGAUCCAGCCAUGCCGCGUGAGUGAUGAAGGCCUUAGGGUUGUAAAGCUCUUUCAGUAGGGAAGAUAAUGACGGUACCUACAGAAGAAGCCCCGGCUAACUUCGUGCCAGCAGCCGCGGUAAUACGAAGGGGGCUAGCGUUGUUCGGAUUUACUGGGCGUAAAGCGCACGUAGGCGGAUCGUUAAGUCAGAGGUGAAAUCCCGGAGCUCAACUCCGGAACUGCCUUUGAUACUGGCGAUCUCGAGUCCGGAAGAGGUAAGUGGAACUCCUAGUGUAGAGGUGGAAUUCGUAGAUAUUAGGAAGAACACCAGUGGCGAAGGCGGCUUACUGGUCCGGAACUGACGCUGAGGUGCGAAAGCGUGGGGAGCAAA